GUUUGAUCCUGGCUCAGGAUGAACGCUAGCGGCGCGCUUAACACAUGCAAGUCGUGCGCGAAAGGCGGAUCACCUUCGGGUGUGAAGCCGAGUAGAGCGGCGAACGGGUGAGUAACACGUAACUAACCUGCCCUUCCGACGGGAAUAACCCCGGGAAACCGGGGCUAAUGCCCGAUACGCUGCCGGGCUCACAAGAGCCCGGAAGGAAAGGCGCUUCGGCGUCGCGGAAGGAGGGGGUUGCGGCCUAUCAGCUGGUUGGUGGGGUAAUGGCCCACCAAGGCCAAGACGGGUAGCUGGUCUUAGCGGACGAUCAGCCACACGGGGACUGAGACACGGCCCCGACCCCUACGGGAGGCAGCAGUGGGGAAUCUUCCGCAAUGGGCGCAAGCCUGACGGAGCGACGCCGCGUGGAGGACGAAGCCCUUCGGGGUGUAAACUCCUUUUCUGAGGGAAGAAUAAGGUCAGCAGGAAAUGGCUGACCGAUGACGGUACCUCAGGAAUAAGGGACGGCUAACUCUGUGCCAGCAGCCGCGGUAAGACAGAGGUCCCGAGCGUUAUCCGGAAUCACUGGGCGUAAAGGGCGUCUAGGCGGCUCCGUGUGUCGUCCGUGAAACCUCCCGGCUCAACCGGGAGCGGUCGGGCGAAACUGCGGAGCUUGAGGGCUGGAGGGGGAAGCGGAACUGUCGGAGUAGCGGUGAAAUGCGCAGAUACCGACAGGUACCUCGAUGGCGAAGGCAGCUUCCUGGCCAGACCCUGACGCUGAAGCGCGAAAGCAUGGGGAGCGAACCGGAUUAGAUACCCGGGUAGUCCAUGCCGCAAACGAUGUCGGCUAGGUGUUGGCCCCUUUAUUGAGGGUCAGUGCCGCAGCUAACGCGUUAAGCCGACCGCCUGAGGAUUACGGCCGCAAGGCUAAAACUCAAGGGAAUUGACGGGGGCCCGCACAAGCGGUGGAGCACGUGGUUUAAUUCGAUGAUAAGCGAAGCACCUUACCCGGGCUUGACAUGCACGUGGUACUGAACCGAAAGGGGAUGGACCGCUUCCUUCGGGAAGCGGAGCGUGCACAGGUGCUGCAUGGCUGUCGUCAGCUCAUGCCGUGGGGCGUCGGGUUAAGUCUCGCAACGAGCGCAACCCCUGCUCUUAGUUGCCAUCACUUCGGGUGGGCACUCUAAGGGGACUGCCGGCGAAUAGCCGGAGGAAGGAGGGGACGACGUCAAGUCAGUAUGGCCCUUAUGCCCGGGGCGACACACGUGCUACAAUGGCCGGUACAAAGGGACGCCAACCCGCAAGGGGGAGCCAAUCUCACAAAACCGGCCCCAGUUCGGAUUGGGGUCUGCAACUCGACCCCAUGAAGGCGGAAUCGCUAGUAAUCGCAGGUCAGCCAUACUGCGGUGAACGUGUACUCGGGCCUUGUACACACCGCCCGUCACACCAGCCGAGUGGGGGGCACCCGAAGACCCUGUGCAAGGGUUGAAGGUGCCCUCCGCGAGGGGGGUGAAGUCGUAACAAGGUAGCCG
rnacentral:rRNA from 1 species